rnacentral:rRNA from 1 species
UGGGGAAUUUUGGACAAUGGGCGCAAGCCUGAUCCAGCAAUGCCGCGUGCAGGAUGAAGGCCUUCGGGUUGUAAACUGCUUUUGUACGGAGCGAAAAGGUCUGCCCUAAUACGGUGGGCUCAUGACGGUACCGUAAGAAUAAGCACCGGCUAACUACGUGCCAGCAGCCGCGGUAAUACGUAGGGUGCGAGCGUUAAUCGGAAUUACUGGGCGUAAAGCGUGCGCAGGCGGUUAUGCAAGACAGAGGUGAAAUCCCCGGGCUCAACCUGGGAACUGCCUUUGUGAAUGGAUAGAUAGAGUACGGUAGGAGGGGAUGGAAUUCCGCGUGUAGCAGUGAAAUGCGUAGAUAUGCGGAGGAACACCGAUGGCGAAGGCAGUCCCCUGGACAUGUACUGACGCUCAUGAACGAAAGCGUGGGGAGCAAACA